UAGGGAAUCUUCGGCAAUGGGGGCAACCCUGACCGAGCAACGCCGCGUGAGUGAAGAAGGUUUUCGGAUCGUAAAGCUCUGUUGUAAGAGAAGAACGUGUGUGAGAGUGGAAAGUUCACACAGUGACGGUAACUUACCAGAAAGGGACGGCUAACUACGUGCCAGCAGCCGCGGUAAUACGUAGGUCCCGAGCGUUGUCCGGAUUUAUUGGGCGUAAAGCGAGGGCAGGCGGUUUAAUAAGUCUGAAGUUAAAGGCAAUGGCUUAACAAUUGUUCGCUUUGGAAACUGUUAAACUUGAGUGCAGAAGGGGAGAGUGGAAUUCCAUGUGUAGCGGUGAAAUGCGUAGAUAUAUGGAGGAACACCGGUGGCGAAAGCGGCUCUCUGGUCUGUAACUGACGCUGAGGCUCGAAAGCGUGGGGAGCAAACAGG
rnacentral:rRNA from 1 species